AUUGAACGCUGGCGGCAGGCCUAACACAUGCAAGUCGAGCGGAUGAAGGGAGCUUGCUCCUGGAUUCAGCGGCGGACGGGUGAGUAAUCCCUAGGAAUCUGCCUGGUAGUGGGGGAUAACGUCCGGAAACGGGCGCUAAUACCGCAUACGUCCUGAGGGAGAAAGUGGGGGAUCUUCGGACCUCACGCUAUCAGAUGAGCCUAGGUCGGAUUAGCUAGUUGGUGGGGUAAAGGCCUACCAAGGCGACGAUCCGUAACUGGUCUGAGAGGAUGAUCAGUCACACUGGAACUGAGACACGGUCCAGACUCCUACGGGAGGCAGCAGUGGGGAAUAUUGGACAAUGGGCGAAAGCCUGAUCCAGCCAUGCCGCGUGUGUGAAGAAGGUCUUCGGAUUGUAAAGCACUUUAAGUUGGGAGGAAGGGCAGUAAGUUAAUACCUUGCUGUUUUGACGUUACCAACAGAAUAAGCACCGGCUAACUUCGUG
rnacentral:rRNA from 1 species